UCCUACGGGGGGCAGCAGUGGGGAAUAUUGCACAAUGGGGGAAACCCUGAUGCAGCGACGCCGCGUGAGUGAAGAAGUAUCUCGGUAUGUAAAGCUCUAUCAGCAGGGAAGAAAAAAAGUCUUUGGCUUUGGACGGUACCUGACUAAGAAGCCCCGGCUAACUACGUGCCAGCAGCCGCGGUAAUACGUAGGGGGCAAGCGUUAUCCGGAUUUACUGGGUGUAAAGGGAGCGUAGACGGCAGCGCAAGUCUGGAGUGAAAUGCCGGGGCUCAACCCCGGAACUGCUUUGGAAACUGUGCAGCUAG
rnacentral:rRNA from 1 species